CAAUUAAAUAUUUUGUCAUUUGACACAUAUCUUCGUUCUACUAGAUUCUAGAAAUUACCCUCUCACUUAAUUUCAUCCCUUCAGGUAUGCUCCUUUAAUCUCUUUUUCCCUUCGUCUUUGAUAUAAAUCUUGUAAUGAGAACUUUUAAAUUGUUAUUGAAUUUUUUUAAUAAGUUGUGGUUAAAACUAAAGGAUAAGUUUUUUAGUGGGAAUAAAAUUGAGACGAAGUAGCAAGCUCGAGAUUGGAUUCAAUGUGUUCGAAUUUGACAUAUAUAGGUGGUUUUACGAAUUAAUAAGAAAAUCAGACUUGGAAUAUAAUUGUGUUUUCAUGGUUUGAGAUGAAACUGUGUGUGUUACUGCUUGCUGAGUAUUUGUGCCGAUAAAAGCAAACGUUCAUCCUGAUUCAUGAGGGAGGAGCUGCUUCAUUUUCUGUGUUUUCAUUUAUUUAUUAAUAAAAAUUGACCAGUUAAAGGUUGAUUAUUGAUGUAUAACCCUUGGAAAUUUUGAUUUCGUUUUUAGGUAUUAGUCAGAUGAAAAUAUAAUUCUCUCUGGUUGUUAAAUAUUUUGACGUGCAAUUUUUAUUUAGGUGUUUGUUCAUAUUGCUCUACUUGUGCAUUAAUUCGUCAUCUAUGCUCUUAUAAUAGUCCCCUUCUUUCCCUCACCAAGUUCUCUAUUUUCAUUGUUUUUCUUUUGAUUUUUCUUUCAAACCUCUUCUUGAAUGGGGUUUAGAAUUAAUCGCAUGAUUCAAAAUAAUAGUUUGACUAGAAUCAAUUCUAUGAUUGAUAUAGCUAAAAUACUAAUUACAGUGUUUGAUACUAAUCUUAACAUAUGUUGUUUUUUUGUGGCGAAACGAAGGCUUACUGGUUAGAAAUGUGUUGAACCUCAACUGUUUUAGUCUUGCUCAUUUUUCUAAAUUUUAACUCCAUUGUCACAAAUUUUUAUUACAAUUAUCAAGCGAUGACGCUUUUUUUCACAUUCCACUCGUUUUUUAAAUUUUUGGUUCAAUUUUGUGAAUAUUGUCUAUCUUAAAUUUACUUUACAACCACAAUAUCCUUGGUAAGUGUUUCUACAUAUGACAUUUAAGAUGAACCAAACUAGCUCUAUAAAAGGCCUAUGGGAAUUAGAAGUCGUGAAUGAGAUUGGACCAAGUUAAAUGUUGGAGUGUUUUAUUUGAGAUCCAAGCUCAAUUAACAUUUGGUUAAAAGGGAGAAUGAGUUUGAAAGAAGAGCUUAUGCAUAUUGAAGAAACGUUUGUUCCUCUCUUCUUCUUCAAGCUUUUCAUCCUACUUCUUAUCUAUAUCCUUACUUAUUGUGGCUUCAGUGUUUUUCGUUGUAAUUCAAUAAUUUUACUGGUGUUGUGAUAAUUUGAUUGUCAAGGACUAUAUAAUAUUUGAAUAGUUGGUGUUGAGAAUUCGAAUUCAUUACAUACACAAAAAAUCAAAGUGUCUUCAACCUUUCUUGAUUUUUUACUGCUACUUGUUGAUAUAGUUUUGGGUUACACCUUCUUUUGGGUAAGAGUUGUAAUUAUUCUUAACUAUUUUUAUUUUAUGUUCCCACAAAUUUAUGACUGUGCUUUAGUGUCUUUGAAAUAUUUCAGGCAAAAUGUUGUGCAUUUGAUUAAUUACUUUACACUGAUUGUUCCUCCAUGCAUUGAAAAAUCACAUGAUAUUACGUGCUUACUGUUUUCAUUUUCUUUGUUUGAUUUCAGAUAUAAAAUGUGAAGUCUGUGAUCAAAGAAGAUAUUUUCAAUGAUACAAAUUAUUGGAUCUGUUAUGAAGCUCCAAAUGUCUAGAAGGUAUGCAAGGUUCUUAUAUAUAUAUUGAUGAAGCGAAAGAAAAUGUGUUGGUUGGGAAUCAUAGGAUGAACAUCUUGGUUUUGGAUCUACCCAGGUUAAAGAAAUGUUGGACCAUUUUAAAGGUUUGCUUGCAAGUGAAACUGUAGCAAUGAAGAGUGAGUAGGUCAUUGUAUAAGUCAAGCCUGAGGUGUGUGAUCUCUAUCUUUAAAAUUUUCACCAGUUCAUGGUUAGUUUCACUAUACCCUGAACUAAAAGAAGAAGGAUUUCAGCUAGAUCAUAAGUCUCUUCACACAUCCGCUAUACCUAAGUUUCUAUAACAUGGAAGUUGUUUGUCUUACUAACUUUUGUGAUGACAAUGAAUUACCUAGGAUUGGAAAUUCCAACUCUGUUACUUAUGUCAAUGAAGAAGUCUUGGGUCAAAAAUGAAGAAUGGGUGGUUCACAUUAAUGCAAAAAUCUUGGUAAUUAUUAAUUUUUUUUUUUUGUUGAGUUCAUAAUUUUCAGGUUAACUUCAACCCUGUCAGUGUCAAUUCAAUCAAGAAAACACUUGCAUCUAUAUGCAAAAAGGAGCAGAGUCAAAGUGAGUGGAGGUGAUAUCAGACAUGCAAUUAAUUUUCUACAGUAUCUUUGUCUUAAAUCACAUAUAAUGCCUAUUCUAUCGUCAAAAGAAAGACUGGAUAAUGUUAGUUGUUUGGAUGGUGUGUUCUGUUUGUCAUUCGACUAGAUAACGUUAGUUGUUUGGAUGAUGCGUUCUCUUUUCCAUUUGGAAAAGAUGAAACUCCCUCUCUAUUUUAUGCAUUAGGCAAAUUUCUACACAACAAAAGAGAGUGAGCACACUAUUGCAUCUGGUACAUCUGACUAAACUUCAUUCUCAAGUUACAGUGAGUUGCAAGUGCUUCCAAAACUUAGUAACACUGUUUUUGUACGUCUUCUGUAGUACUGAUAAAUUACUCCACCUUUGCAAGUAAUGCUUCCUCAUGAAAGAUGCAUAUCUUAGCAUCUAUGUGAUCUAAUCAUGCAAUAUUGGGUUGUUAUUUAUGAUCCACAUAUCCAACACUUUAUGUUCAAAGAGUUUUUCAAUUGCUAAAUGUGGUUUCAUUACCUGUAGACAGGGGCAGAGCUACAGUGUUAAAUGGGGGUUUGGAUGAAUCCAUUGACUUUUACGUAGAUCCUAUAUAUGUACUAAAAAUCAUGUACAAAUAUAUUUAAAUAUUGCGUGCAAACCCACAUCAAACUAAGGUGGGUGGCAUAGUGGUAAGCGUGGGCAGCUCUGAUUUUUUGGAUGGGGGUUCGAGCCCCACUGGCAACUAUUCAAUUUUUUUGUUUUGGAUUAAAAAUGUGCUUUGUGCCUAUCUUUUACCCUCCUUUAAUUCAAUUUUUUCUAUAUAGAUUUUUCUAAAUUCUUCUUCAAACAAAAACAGAAAAUUGAUAAUUGGAAAUAAUAAAAAAAUAGUGUCAUACUUCAAAACAAACAUCUGACUAUUAAUUCAAAAUAGAUAAUUGUAAGUAACAAAAAUAUAGUGUCGUAUUCUACAACAUCUCACUAUUGAUUUCUUUUGAAGCAUUCAAUAAAACAUUAAACCCAUUUUAUUUUAUUUUAAAUUUAGGAUUCUAAUUUUUACUACCUACUUCAUUGCUACUGCUUGUUGUCAAAGUGCAGACCUCUGCCCCGGUAAGUACUAUUUACUCUUCUCAGUUCCUCCUCGGCUCUCCCUUUUCUCUCUUUUUUUUUAUUUGUCUUUACAUUGUAUAACAAUUUAUUUAAAGAUCUUAUUUUUAAUCUUUGAUUUUAUGACUGUUCCACGUAUUAAUAAUGGAUUAUAUUAAUUAAGUUAUUGUUUGCUUCUCGGAAC
rnacentral:lncRNA from 1 species